AUGAACGCUGGCGGCGUGCCUAAUACCUGCAAGUCGAGCGAACGGACGAGAAGCUUGCUUCUCUGAUGUUAGCGGCGGACGGGUGAGUAACACGUGGAUAACCUACCUAUAAGACUGGGAUAACUUCGGGAAACCGGAGCUAAUACCGGAUAAUAUUUUGAACCACAUGGUUCAAAAGUGAAAGACGGUCUUGCUGUCACUUAUAGAUGGAUCCGCGCUGCAUUAGCUAGUUGGUAAGGUAACGGCUUACCAAGGCAACGAUGCAUAGCCGACCUGAGAGGGUGAUCGGCCACACUGGAACUGAGACACGGUCCAGACUCCUACGGGAGGCAGCAGUAGGGAAUCUUCCGCAAUGGGCGAAAGCCUGACGGAGCAACGCCGCGUGAGUGAUGAAGGUCUUCGGAUCGUAAAACUCUGUUAUUAGGGAAGAACAUAUGUGUAAGUAACUGUGCACAUCUUGACGGUACCUAAUCAGAAAGCCACGGCUAACUACGUG
rnacentral:rRNA from 1 species